UACGUAGGGUGCGAGCGUUACUCGGAAUUACUGGGCGUAAAGCGUGCGCAGGCGGUUUUGUAAGCCAGAUGUGAAAUCUCCGGGCUUAACCCGGAAAGGUCAACUGAUACUGUGCGACUAGAGUGCGGAAGGGGCAACUGGAAUUCUCGGUGUAGCGGUGAAAUGCGUAGAUAUCGAGAGGAACACCUGCGGCGAAGGCGGGUUGCUGGGCCGACACUGACGCUGAUGCGCGAAAGCCAGGGGAGCGAACGGG
rnacentral:rRNA from 1 species